UUGUGAGACAUGUCCGAGGGCUUUUCACAUAGAGUGUAUAUCCCUACCACGCAUUCCAACUGGUACUUGGCACUGUAGGUAUUGCCAGAAUACCUUCGAAAAGGAAAGUUUGUGCAACAUAAUGCCAAUGCGGUUGCUGCUGGAAGAGUUGCUGGAAUUGAUCCAAUAGAACAGAUAACAAAGAGAUGUAUUCGUAUUAUCAAAACUCCAGAGGCAGAAGUUCCCAGUGUGUGUGUGCUAUGCAGAGGUCAUGCUUUAGCAAGUCAGGGUUUGGUCCUCGUACUGUUUACUUUGUGAUCAGGUAUCUUUUUGGUUCUGUUUGUGCUUAGGUUGU